UGUGCCAGCAGCCGCGGUAAAACCAGCACCUCAAGUGGUCAGGAUGAUUAUUGGGCCUAAAGCAUCCGUAGCUCGUUUUGUAAGUUUUCGGUUAAAUCCAUGCGCUCAACGUAUGGGCUGCCGGGAGUACUGCAUAACUAGGAAGUGGGAGAGGUAGACGGUACUCGGUAGGAAGGGGUAAAAUCCUUUGAUCUAUUGACGACCACCUGUGGCGAAGGCGGUCUACCAGAACACGUUCGACGGUGAGGGAUGAAAGCUGGGGGAGCAAACCGGAUUAGAUACCCGGGUAGUCCCAGCUGUAAACGAUGCAAACUCAGUGACGCAUUGGCUUGUGGCCAAUGCAGUGCUGCAGGGAAGCCGUUAAGUUUGCCGCCUGGGAAGUACGUACGCAAGUAUGAAACUUAAAGGAAUUGGCGGGGGAGCACCACAAGGGGUGAAGCCUGCGGUUCAAUUGGAGUCAACGCCAGAAAUCUUACCCGGAGAGACAGCAGAAUGAAGGUCAAGCUGAAGACUUUACCAGACAAGCUGAGAGGUGGUGCAUGGCCGUCGCCGGCUCGUGCCGUGAGAUGUCCUGUUAAGUCAGGUAACGAGCGAGAUCCCUGCCCCUAGUUGCCACCAUUACUCUCAGGAGUAGUGGGGCGAAUUAGCGGGACCGCCGCAGUUAAUGCGGAGGAAGGAAGGGGCCACGGCAGGUCAGUAUGCCCCGAAACUCUGGGGC
rnacentral:rRNA from 1 species